GUGUUCGUUAUUAAGGGCGCAUGGUGGAUGCCUUGGCAUGCUGAGCCGAUGAAGGACGUGAAAGGCUGCGUUAAGCCUCGGGGAGUUGUCAAUUAAGCGUUGAUCCGAGGAUGUCCGAAUGGGGAAACCUGGCCCUGGUUAUGUGGGGUUACCCUUCAGUGAAUUCAUAGCUGUUGUGGGGGUUUACGCGGGGAAGUGAAACAUCUCAGUACCCGUAGGAGAAGAAAAUAAUAAUGAUUCUGCUAGUAGUGGCGAACGAACGUGGAUGAGGCUAAACCGUGUGCAUGUGAUACCUGGUAGGGGUUGUGUGUGCGGUGUUGUGGGCCCUGAUGUGCGGUGACUACCAUCAUCGUGCUUGCGCAUUGUUGUUAGGUGAAGUGGUUUGGAAUGGCCUGCCGGAGUAGGUGAGAGUCCUGUAGCUGAAGAUGAUGAUGUGUGGGUUGUUGGGUUGCCCGAGUAGCAGCGGGCUCGUGGAAUCUGCUGUGAAUCUGCCGGGACCACCCGGUAAGCCUAAAUACUCAGUGUGACCGAUAGUGUAUGAGUACCGUGAGGGAAUGGUGAAAAGUACCCCGGGAGGGGAGUGAAAUAGUUCCUGAAACCAUGUGCUUACAAUCCGUCAGAGCACCGUGUGUGUGAUGGCGUGCCUUUUGAAGAAUGAGCCUGCGAGUCAGCGGCAUGUCGCGAGGUUAACCCGUGUGGGGUAGCCGUAGGGAAACCGAAUCCUAAUGGGGUGUCAAGUGGCAUGUCCUGGACCCGAAGCGGGGUGAUCUACCCAUGGCCAGUGUGAAGCAGCUGUAAGAGGUUGUGGAGGCGCGAACCCACGUAGGUUGAAAACUGCGGGGAUGAGCUGUGGGUAGGGGUGAAAGGCCAAUCAAACUCCGUGAUAGCUGGUUCUCCCCGAAAUGCAUUUAGGUGCAGCGUCGUAUUAUAGCUUGGUGGAGGUAGAGCGACUGGUUGGUUGAGCGGGACUACAAUCUUAGCAAUGUCAGCCAAACUCCGAAUGCCACUAAUUGUGUUGUACGGCAGUGAGACUGUGGGGGAUAAGCUUCAUAGUCGAGAGGGAAACAGCCCAGAUCGCCGGUUAAGGCCCCUAAGGGUGUACUAAGUGGAAAAGGAUGUGGGAUCGCGAAGACAGCCAGGAGGUUGGCUUAGAAGCAGCCAUCCUUGAAAGAGUGCGUAAUAGCUCACUGGUCGAGUGGUUCUGCGCCGACAAUGUAGUGGGGCUCAAGUACACCGCCGAAGCCGCGGCAACAAUUUUUUUGUUGGGUAGGGGAGCGUCGUGCAUGGGUUGAAGCGUUACCGUAAGGAGGCGUGGACUGUGUGCGAGUGAGAAUGCAGGCAUGAGUAACGAAUUGAUAGGUGAGAAUCCUAUCCGCCGGAUGACUAAGGGUUCCUGGGUCAAGUUCGUCUUCCCAGGGUGAGUCGGGACCUAAGGCGAGGCCGACAGGCGUAGUCGAUGGAUAACCAGUUGAUAUUCUGGUACCCGUACAUGCGCGCCCAUGAUAAAGCACUGAUACUAACCACCGCGGAUGCAUUGCUGGUCUUCUUUGAAGUCUGGUGGUGUUGAUGUCGUGGGGCCUGAUGUGUGGUUCAAGUGAUGGGGUGACGCAGUGAGGUAGCCACGCCACUUAUUGGAUUGGUGGUGUAAGCGUGCAGACCGUGUGGUAGGUAAAUCCGCUGCACAUUUUGGUUGAGGCGUGAUGCGUAGACCCAUUGGGGUUGAUGGUGGUGAUCCUGUACUGUCGAGAAAAGCCUCUAGCGAUGUGUGUGUAUGGCCCGUACCCUAAACCGACACAGGUGGUCAGGUUGAAAAUACUAAGGCGUUCGGGUGAACUGUGGUUAAGGAAUUCGGCAAAAUGCCCCCGUAACUUCGGGAGAAGGGGGGCCCUACGAUGUGAGCAUCCUUGCGGUGUUAAGCGUUGUGGGGUCGCAGAGAAUAGAGGGAAGCGACUGUUUAUCAAAAACACAGGUCCAUGCGAAGACGUUAAGUUGAUGUAUAUGGACUGACGCCUGCCCGGUGCUGGAAGGUUAAGAGGACCGGUUAGUCAACUUUGUUGGCGAAGCUGAGAAUUUAAGCCCCAGUAAACGGCGGUGGUAACUAUAACCAUCCUAAGGUAGCGAAAUUCCUUGUCGGGUAAGUUCCGACCUGCACGAAUGGCGUAAC
rnacentral:rRNA from 1 species